rnacentral:rRNA from 1 species
CCUACGGGGGGCAGCAGUGGGGAAUUUUGCGCAAUGGGCGAAAGCCUGACGCAGCAACGCCGCGUGGGUGAUGAAGGUCUUCGGAUCGUAAAACCCUGUCGUCAGGGACGAAGGGCUACGGAGUAACUGUCGUAGUCUUGACGGUACCUGGAGAGGAAGCCCCGGCUAACUCUGUGCCAGCAGCCGCGGUAAUACAGAGGGGGCAAGCGUUAUUCGGAAUUAUUGGGCGUAAAGGGCGCGUAGGCGGUGAUUUAAGUGAGAUGUGUAAUCCCCGAGCUUAACUUGGGAACUGCAUCUCAGACUGGGUCGCUAGAGUGCUGGAGAGGGUGGUAGAAUUCCACGUGUAGCGGUGAAAUGCGUAGAGAUGUGGAGGAAUACCAGUGGCGAAGGCGGCCACCUGGACAGUAACUGACGCUGAGGCGCGAAAGUGUGGGGAGCAAACAGGAUUAGAUACCCCAGUAGUC